GCAGUUGUGGCCGAGUGGUUAAGGCAAUGGUCUAGAAAUCCAUUGGGGUCUCCCCGCACAGGUUCGAAUCCUGUCGACUGCG
rnacentral:tRNA from 1 species